UCUUUUCUGGAUAGCUGUAGAAAGUAGGAAUUUGUCGCUGCUACAUUACAUGAUUUUUUUUUUUUGACAAAUCCUAUAUUUUGUUUUCCUUUCAUUUAUCAGUGGUAAACUGGUAAAAUAUCUUUCAAAUGGAUUGAAGGAUUUGUUUCUUAUAUUUUAAACUUAUGCUUCAUAAGAAUAAAUGGAAAAAAUUUACCUUCAAGAUGAGAAAAUUUUCGUGAAUCUGAGUUGAUAUUUAAAACUUAUCGAGAAAAUUAGUCUGUGAUGGGAUUCCAAUUUUCUGUGGUUGUUUUGUUAUCUUUAAAGAGUUGUACUUUGUCUUUUGGUUUCUUGCGGACAUUGUUAGUUGUUUUCUUUCCUCAUGCUUCAUUUGAACUGCUAUUCUUUACCAUAUACACCCUCUAAUGAACCAAGUAGAAUCAGAUGUCCAAAUCUCCCUAACUUUUUUUUUCCUUUCUCACCUAUAACUACCUUCCUCUUUGAGGUAGCUAAUAUAUCUUUGAUUUGCCCAAGACUGAGGUUCAUUUUUCCAUUACCAGAUCCCUGGUGUCAGUUCUGUGAUCAGUUUGUUUGUUUGACGUGUGAAUAGUGAAAUAACACAAAUAAAAAAGGAUAAGUGUCUAUGCAUGGCUCAGAAAACUCCUUGAAAAAGGGCUGAUUAUCAACUGAACUCCAUCUUACCUAUAAGAGAAAACAGAGGACUAUCUUUUCCAGCUUUUGCAUAUUUCCACUGUUACUAACUUUCUCAUGCUGUGUAACAAAUCCUAGUAUCUCAAACAUGUUGCUCCAACUAGCCUUGAUAAGGUUUCCUGGAUUAGUCAAUUCAUCCCAAACAUGUGGCUCCAGCAUUCAGUAAUAAAAAAUUUGUCCCUCUGCUCUAAACUCUAAACCUAACUAGCCCAUCCUUUGAUGUGUACUGAUAUUCCUGAGAAUGAGUUGGAAGUUUUAUAUCUUCUUUCUUAUAUGAACUAUCCAUCAAGACUUUUGAUUCUAUUGUCCAACUCCAUGACAAUCUGAUGACUAGAUAAAAUGGAUUAUGUUGUCCACAUCCUUAUUUAUGUUGUGUUACUUGAAAGUCCAGGGAAAUUGCUGCCUGCAAAAAUUAAUGACAGCCAUGAUAUGUCUCUCUAGUCUUUUUCUUAUGCUUCCACAUUUUUGCUCUAAUAUGAGUAGCAUUCUUUCCCAUCCUUUUUCCCACCUUGGUAAUAUAGACUGCUAGUCUUCUCUUUCUGAAAAUGUAACUUUUGUUUCCAAGCAUAUUGGGCAUGGAAUUAGGCAAAAGUUCUUGUCAAUACAAAAAAGAGAAUUUUUCUUUCUUCAUUUUCAUUUUGAAAAAUUGUCGCUUUAUGGUAAACUAAACCUAGAUGCUAAACUUUAUAGAUGUUGUCUCUGCGCUCUAAAUAUGUAUUCGUCACUGUCAGGUGGUCUCUGCCCUAAAUUUAACCCUUUUUUUGCUUCUUCCUUUUUUAGUGACUUGUACAUAAUUGUAAGCAAGGCCAGCCUUUGAUGAUUUAAUUUUUUGUUGAAUUUUGUUGACACUUCAGUUAAGCAUUGCAAUUUUCUUUCAGGCAUUAGCUGGUUCCGAUGACUCCAUAGAAUUUAGUGAAGGAUAUUUCGAACUUAGCCCCUUGUUUGUAAUCUUAAACAACUGUGAGCUUAGCAUACUUGCUUUAGCCAUCAUGUCAAUACUAUAACCUCGUAGCUGAAAACAGCAUUGUGUGAUUAUGCAUGUUCUUUUGAUAUGAAUUAUGUUCUCUAUUCAUUUUUCUGAUCUUUAGGUGUUGUGAGUUUAAAAUCAUUAUGCA